rnacentral:lncRNA from 1 species
CAAAAAAGUAUAUUACCAAUAAAAAUUUACAUUACAAAAUGGUUCAUAAAAGUUUUAUAACAAAUCUACCAAACUACAAAAUUCAAUUACUAAGUUAUCACUAAAUUUGAUGACUUGCCCACACAAAAUAAUAUCAGGUCGGAACCACUCAAAAUACAGUUAGUUUUCCGUAGUUUCUUCACAGAUCAAUAUAUACGUUUCUUUUUAUGGAAAACACCAAGUUUAUUUAGCAAAGUUUUCAAUCUGUAUACUUCAUCAAAUAUAGUCUGUGUCAGAUUAUUUUGACAGUACAGUACAUUUUAGUACAGAUUUCAAGAAACUGUAAGGCUAAGUUUUUCUAUUUAAAUAUGAAUCUUUCAAAGUACCGAACAUUAUUUCGUUUUUAAAGAGAAGAGUUUUUUAAACAUGAAGAAAUUAUGUUUGAAAACUUUAUAUUUUUCUAACUCUGUCGAUUUUAAAGCACAUAAAGCCUCGGUCAGACGAGAAGGAUGAGAGUUGAGUUGGAACUCUCAGUCGCGUUUGAACUUUUAACGUGUUUCAAAUUUUGAUGAGAAUUUUCGCUAGGCGCGUGGUAAUAUCCAUGCAACUCUUGUUCUCGUUUGACCGAGGCAUGAGAGUCGAGGAAACUCUCGUGCAAACUCUCGCUUGCCAACUCUCCUGCACUUUACUUCUCGUUUGAUCCAGCUUUAAACAUUUUAUUUGCUAAAUUGUUUUCAUUCGGAGAAACUUUCAGAAAUAAUAUACCACAUCAAAAUAAUAAUAUAUCAUCAUCUUCCGCAUCAACAACUUUUUGCUCGGAAAAUAAGAGCUCGUUUGAGAACCUGAAACCUCCUAACCUUAUUUACUGCACUGAUAAUGAUCGGGAUUAUAGAUCGAUAGCUUUGCUAAAUAAAUCAAGAUCGUAUUUUCAACAAAAUUAAAAGUACUUACAGUAUUUUUCAUCAAAUUAUCUAUCUGUUCCGUACGUUCUCACAAAUCCCAUCUAUCAGACAAGUGCACAGUUUCUUCCUUGCUUUUUCAUGCGUCGGCAACAGAUGACUUGAACAUAUUCCAGUCAGGUUUUCACAAUUUGCUUGAUUUCAGUUCCAACGAUAAGUACCAACGAUGACUGUUUCUUGACAAGAAAACAGGCGAAAGCAGCAACCAGGCAACUGUUUCAAUCGAUAUCUUCACAAUUUUGCUGUCAUCAUAAUUACCACUAUCAUUUAACCACCAUUAUCAACACCAAUUAUAAUCACCAUCAUUACCAUCGUAACAGUCAUUUAUACCAUCAUAACCGCUAUCACCGCCCAAAGUAACAAAACCACUACCUUGACUAUCAGCAGUUUUGCACCAUUGUCAUUAUCGCCACCCUCAUAAUCACCAGCAUCAGCACUGUUACAUUCACCAUUAUCACCACUAUCACAACACUGCAAUAAUAACCAUCACUAUCACCAUCACAACACUGCAUUAAUAACCAUCACUAUCACCAUCACAACACUGCAUUAAUAACCAUCACUAUCACCAUCACAACACUGCAUUAAUAACCAUCACUAUCACCAUCACAACACUGCAAUAAUAACUAUCACUAUCACCAUCACAACACUGCAUUAAUAACCAUCACUAUCACCAUCACAACACUGCAUUAAUA